rnacentral:lncRNA from 1 species
AAUAAAAUCUUCCUUCCUUUCUUCCUUCCUUCCCUCCUUCCUUCCUUUCUUCCUGACUUCUCUUUCUUUAUCUUUUAUCUUUCUUUCUUUUUCUUUUGUCUUUCUCCAACCAGCUCUUAUUCUUCCUAGUUGCUACUAGUCUAGCAAGCUUAGUAUAUGUGCAUUUUACAUGUGUGUGUAAAUGUGGAGAUGUAUGGAAAAACAAAUAGAUGUAUUGAAAAGAUUAAUGUGGCAUAUCUGAUAUGGCAAACUCUUAUGUAGUCUUCAAAACCCACAUCAGAUGAUUACUUUUCUAUAGCAUUGUUCCUGCACGCUUCAUGUAGAGAAUUUUUAAUAUAUAGAUUAAUAAGAUUUAUCGAUACAUUCUCAGUGCUAUUUCUGUAUCUUAUAUUUGCAAUUAUGUUACUAGUUUUCAUACCAUAUCAUAAUUAUUUAUCGGAAA